UUUAUGUUUAUGGUUGCCUAGAUUGGUUCUCAAUCAGAGGCAGCUGUUAAUCGUUGUCUCUGAUUGGGGACCAUAUUUAGGUUGCCAUAUUUCUUGGGUAUUUUGCGGGUUGUUAUUCUAUAUUUAGUUGCCUGUUUGCACUAGCCAUAUUGUUGUUUUGUAUAGUUUGUUCAGUGUUCUUUCUUCAUUAAAAUAAGUAUGUACGCUUACCACACUGCGCCUUGGUCUCCUCCAUAUGACGACCGCUUCAUCAACAAAUAUAUGCUUAUGAUGGGUCACAGCAGCAUCAAACACCAUCACCCUCUAAAAAUGUAUUUUGACAGCCAUAAGUCAUUCCUGGCACACACCAUUUCCACCACUGUCCACUCCUGCUGGUCGGUCAGCACACUGCCACGGCCACCACCGUCUUCUGUCAAUUCUGAGGAUUGGGGUGAACUACUCUGCCAGCCUCUGCCGCAGUAAGGCCUCUGUUUAGCACAUGGUCAAUGACGACGGCACGGACUUCCAUUAGACAACAGUUCGCUGCCAUCUGCCUCCUUCGCUGAUGUUCCACCUCCUUGACGGGGUCCCCAUGCCCACCUCUUUGAUGGGCCCGUUGUCCACAAACUCUUUCAUUUCUUCCUCUCCCUUGCUGUCUAUCCUGCUCCAUGUUGAAAGAAAAUGCAAGUUUUAAUACACCCUUUUAUAUGGUGACCACUUGUGGUUACCACUAUUGGAAAUCAAAUGGCAAUAACGAGUUAUCAUUAUGUAUGGUUAUCAUACAUGUUAUUUAGAUGUUUAUACUUUACAAACACACCUUUUAUUUCUGUAGUUCUCCAAAUCCAUAUAAACCAGUUUAAAAUCUAUAGGUUUACCAAACAGUUAAUGUAUUUAAACAAAUGAAAAGUAUUGCAUUGUGAAAGGAAAUGACUUUUUAUGAAAGGUAUUUCUAGAUGAAACACUGAGUAGGUUUGGUGAAACAUUUACUCUGUGAUUUUGUGUGUUGUACUUGGUCAAUUGAAAAUGUGCUUAAAGUUAAGAAAAAACAGCCUUUUUGAUCUGUUUUGAGUUUCGUACUAAGAGUUGUGAAAUUUUACCACACAAUUGUGAACAUAGUACAAAAGCGAUUUUAAAAAAUGUUCAAAAGGUAAAGAUAGAAAGCUUAACUCUAACAAUAUUACAAUAAGGACAAUCGUAUACCAUUUUGUUUUAAUUCCCCUACCUCCCUCCCCAACUUAGUUUAAGAUAUUUACACAUGUCAACAGCGCCACCCCCUGGGCACCAUUGUUUUUUGAGGAAAGUAAGGUUUGAAAGUAUGGUUGGUUUCAUGGGGCAGCAGACAGCCUACUGGUUAAGAAUGUUGGGCCAGUAACCUAAAGGUUGCUGGUUUGAAUCCCUGAGCCGAUAAGGUGAAAAAUCUGUUGAUGAGCAGUUGAGCAAGGUACAAAAUUCUAAUUGCUCCUGUAAGUCACACCCCACAUUUUGUCAACUUAUUCUUUAAAGUUGGAAUAGUAGAAUGCACAAGGUGCAAUUUCAAAAAUGGAUAGUGGUCAUCAUCAGUUUUCCUCUUGUCAUGUAAGUCAUUGCAUACCAUAGAGAAAUAUUUCCAACUUGUCAUAAAUGUCCAGAUCAACUACCCUAUGUCAGCUAACAUUUGUUAGCCCAUAGAUUUUGUUGUAAUAUUUGAGUCACUCAAAUCACAUGAAUACACAUUAGAUGCGGGAUGUUCCCUAGUGAUGGAAGUGGAACCUGAGUGAAAAGGUUUGAGAACCCCUGUGCUAAAUGACUAAAAUGUAAAUGCAUCUGCUAUUAGACUGUUAACCAGAGGAGGGCAGUCACAAGCCUCACAAUAGACUGUCAGGGCUAAGGAGGUGAGGGGGACUCAAAGGGAGAUUAUCAUUUGAGCAAAGGACCGUCCUCUCUCCUCCAUGACCCGAAAACUGAUAAGUGGUCGAGGGGUCAAGGACAGUGUCAAUUUGUUAGUAGGAAAACGGAAGAGUGUCCUCCCCUCCUUGAUAGCCACCUUUCAUCAAGGAUAUGUCAUGUGUAUCCUACCAUCACGGAAGAGUUUUGAGAUCCACUACACUCCCCUUUGAAUCAGCUGUUAUCCUUUUAUCUAUUAAAUGUCUUGCACAGUAGUUACAU